rnacentral:rRNA from 1 species
UUCUCUGAUGUUAGCGGCGGACGGGUGAGUAACACGUGGGUAACCUACCUAUAAGACUGGGAUAACUCCGGGAAACCGGGGCUAAUACCGGAUAAUAUUUUGAACCGCAUGGUUCGAUAGUGAAAGACGGUUUCGGCUGUCACUUAUAGAUGGACCCGCGCCGUAUUAGCUAGUUGGUAAGGUAACGGCUUACCAAGGCGACGAUACGUAGCCGACCUGAGAGGGUGAUCGGCCACACUGGAACUGAGACACGGUCCAGACUCCUACGGGAGGCAGCAGUAGGGAAUCUUCCGCAAUGGGCGAAAGCCUGACGGAGCAACGCCGCGUGAGUGAUGAAGGUCUUCGGAUCGUAAAACUCUGUUGUUAGGGAAGAACAAAUUUGUUAGUAACUGAACAAGUCUUGACGGUACCUAACCAGAAAGCCACGGCUAACUACGUGCCAGCAGCCGCGGUAAUACGUAGGUGGCAAGCGUUAUCCGGAAUUAUUGGGCGUAAAGCGCGCGUAGGCGGUUUCUUAAGUCUGAUGUGAAAGCCCACGGCUCAACCGUGGAGGGUCAUUGGAAACUGGGAAACUUGAGUGCAGAAGAGGAGAGUGGAAU